UAACUUGAUAAGCGCCCAAAAACGGGAAAAAAUUACCACCAAUUAGAUAAUUUCAGGCCUAUGAUGGCAAAAACGAUAAAGUUCUACGCCAGAAGUCUUCAACGCAAAAGGAGAUAUGUCGAUACUCGAUAUUUUCGUAAGGCAUUGUUUUAGCCAAGCAAUCCUAUUAGCAGAAAGGAAAAUAAAAUGCAUAUCAGCUUGCAGACAAAGCAAUUUUAGAAAAAGAGCAUUUUGCUUUCUCCUAUGAAAGGCUAUCAAUACUUUCCCAUUACAAACCGUCGGAAGUAAUCGAAAAUAGCUAACGAAUAUAUUCAACCAAUUGUCCCGCGCGCAUAAGAAAAUAACCAUAAAUUUGCAUUCGUGCUAUUUGUUUGUCUAUUUAAAUCCCAAAUUCAAGGACGAUUUAAAAGGCCCUCGAAAUUGUUAAUUACCUUCUUCGCAGACCAGACGACAGACAUCCACCUGCCCGAGGACACUAAUAUAUGCAGGGUCGAGUUAAUCCCCCACAGGGUUUGCAUAAUGUACCCUUAGCAACGAUCUCUAUGGCAACAGUAUGAUAACAAUGGAACGAAGAAUCAGAAUCCGCAGAUUUGUUCAUUUGGAUAAAAAGGAUGAUUUAACGCAAUAAAAUAAAAUCCGUCCCUGAAUUUAAUGGUUUUGGUGAGCAGCGGAAACACCGGUCAGCAAUGGCGCCGCUUUGCUCGGCUGGCCACAUGACAAUAGAGACGAUGGCUUCUUCUAACAGCACCUUCCAACAUGGUGUGCAAAUAACGCCAAUGUUCCUGGGCCGGCAAUGCUGAGAACGAGAAACUCAACUGCUAGAAGAGGAUGUUAAGGGUGAUCAAGUCGAUGCCAUCACCUUUGCACGGAGGACUGUAGUGAACGCUAGGAACGUAAGGCAAGAAAGUGAAAGUGGCCAUUUACAAAGGAGGUUAAGUAGGAGGAUAAAGUGCUUGUAAUAAAAUAAUAUUGGAAGUGACAAUAAAGGGAUUUGUGAAAAUA